rnacentral:rRNA from 1 species
UGAGUAACACGUAUCCAACCUGCCGUCUACUCUUGGCCAGCCUUCUGAAAGGAAGAUUAAUCCAGGAUGGCAUCAUGAGUUCACAUGUCCGCAUGAUUAAAGGUAUUUUCCGGUAGACGAUGGGGAUGCGUUCCAUUAGAUAGUAGGCGGGGUAACGGCCCACCUAGUCAACGAUGGAUAGGGGUUCUGAGAGGAAGGUCCCCCACAUUGGUACUGAGACACGGACCAA